UAUAGCCAUCUUCCUACAUAUUCACAUUUUCAUCUUAUGACAGUGUCGGGCUAGCAUUUGUCAAGUUACAUAUUGCAAACUAUUUUUUUAGAUGGGACAUCCAGAAUUUUUUUCUGUUAAAAAAAAAUAGUUAAAAAAAAUGAGUUCCAAGUAGUAUAGUUUAUACAUAGCGAUAGUUUUCAGAUGAAAAGUACAAUUCAUUGACUUUUAACAAAUGAACACAGUUGCAUAAUCACCACCCCAACCAAGAUCCAGGAUUCCAAAACCCGCCUCCCAGGCCCCUUUGUUAUUGGUCCGCUGCCCUGUCACUCCCGGGACUGCUGCUGCCUUGUUGCACCGCUGGUUUUACCAUUUCCAGACCGGAAAGUCUUCACCCAGCAUGAACAAUGGCUUCCCUAUAGCCUUAGAGGUAGUACACCCUCUCCUGGUCCUCCCUACCCUGUAGACUCUAGCAGCACACCUAGACUCUGAGACUGCAUACAAUUAGGAUAAGAUUGCAUACAAAUGAAUGGCUGGACACCCAGGCAAGGGUCCGAAGACCUCCCUGUCCCCUCCUAAGAGGUGACGUCAACAAUCCACAGGCUGAUUACGACUGACUCUUAAAAGCAGACACAACCAAUCUCAUGGAGACGGCAGCAGCUGGACUCAGAAGUCAACUCCAUGUAAUAGACUGUUCACUGGGAAUGAGUCAUGGUGACCUCAUCUUUCAGGCGAGGCCACUGACACUGAAUGAAGAACUGAAUGAAGAAGGGAUGUGCAGAGACGCUGCUGUGCAGAGACGCUGCUGUGCAGAGAUGACGCUGCUGUGCAGAGAUGACGCUGCUGUGCAGAGACGCUGCUGUGCAGAGGGUGACGCUGGGGCAAACCUCUGAGUCAAUUCUCACCAGAAGUCGUUUGGCUACUUUACAGUAAGGUACAGGCGUCGACCCACCUGCUCCCAAAAUAAGCUUCCUGCUUUAGUUCCUCGGUGUCUGGCUAGGCAACCAGACCGCCAAUGCCUGGACAGCGAUCACUUUGGCCACUGAAGGCCCAUCUCUGGCAUUCUUGCUCAACUCGUCAGCCUCUUCGUGUUCUCGUCAGAUGCUCUUGCCGUGGGGUCAAGUUUGAGCUGAGACCUCAGAGCGUUUCAGUUCCUCACCAGAGCCCCCAGAGCCAGCAUGAGAACAGCGCACGCCAAUUUCCUAUGGCGACUCUUGGUUCUCUAAAUGUCUGCUACUUUUGAAGGAAGAAGAUUGAGUUUCAUCUGUAUUGAGUAAGAGGAGCGUAAGCUUAAAAGUAUUUUAUGUUUCCAUCACAGUUUAUUCUGUUUAGCAUAAAUCACCAGAG